rnacentral:rRNA from 1 species
UACGUAGGGUGCGAGCGUUGUCCGGAAUUAUUGGGCGUAAAGAGCUCGUAGGCGGUUUGUCGCGUCGGCCGUGAAAACUUGGGGCUUAACCCCAAGCUUGCGGUCGAUACGGGCAGACUUGAGUUCGGCAGGGGAGACUGGAAUUCCUGGUGUAGCGGUGAAAUGCGCAGAUAUCAGGAGGAACACCGAUGGCGAAGGCAGGUCUCUGGGCCACUACUGACGCUGAGAAGCGAAAGCAUGGGGAGCGAACAGG